rnacentral:rRNA from 1 species
GAUGAACGCUGGCGGCGUGCUUAACACAUGCAAGUCGAACGGAAAGGCCCUGCUUUUGUGGGGUGCUCGAGUGGCGAACGGGUGAGUAACACGUGAGUAACCUGCCCUUGACUUUGGGAUAACUUCAGGAAACUGGGGCUAAUACCGGAUAGGAGCAUCUGCUGCAUGGUGGGGGUUGGAAAGUUUCGGCGGGUGGGGAUGGGCUGGCGGCUUAGCAGCUUGUUGGGGGGGUAGUGGCCUACCAAGGCUUCGACGGGCAGGCGGCCUUGGCGGGUGGACGGGCACAUUGGGAAUGGGGUAAGGCCCCGACUUCUACGGGAGGGAGCAGUGGGGGAUUUUGCACCAUGGGGGGAAGGCUGAUGCAGGGACCGCGGGUGGGGGAAGAACGCCCUUGGGUUGUAAACCCGUUUUCGCAGGGAAGAAGGGAAAGUGAAGGUAACUGGAGAAGAAGGCACGGCUAACUUCGUG